rnacentral:tRNA from 2 species
GGGGCCGUAGCUCAAUUGGGAGAGCGCCUGAAUGGCAUUCAGGAGGUCGACGGUUCGAUCCCGUUCGGCUCCACCA